UGCUUGCGAGGUGAGAACGGCCUGCUCACGCUCCUGCAGUUUUGCAGGACAGUAGCCGAAAGGUGAAGAGAUCCUGGGAAUUGGCAUCCAGGCGCAAGUA
rnacentral:ncRNA from 1 species